rnacentral:rRNA from 1 species
UAGGGAAUUUUCGUCAAUGGGCGCAAGCCUGAACGAGCAAUGCCGCGUGAGUGAGGAAGGCCUUCGGGUCGUAAAGCUCUGUUGCGAGGGAAAAAGGAACGGAAGAGGAAAUGAUUCCGUUUUGAUGGUACCUCGCCAGAAAGUCACGGCUAACUACGUGCCAGCAGCCGCGGUAAUACGUAGGUGGCAAGCGUUAUCCGGAAUGAUUGGGCGUAAAGGGUGCGCAGGCGGCAUAUCAAGUCUGAAGUGAAAGGUACGGGCUCAACCUGUACAGGCUUUGGAAACUGGUAUGCUCGAGGACAGGAGAGGGCGGUGGAACUCCACGUGUAGCGGUAAAAUGCGUAGAGAUGUGGAAGAACACCAGUGGCGAAGGCGGCUUUCUAGGCCACGACUGACGCUGAGGCGCGAAAGCUAGGGGAGCAAACAGGAUUAGAUACC